rnacentral:rRNA from 1 species
CAGUAGGGUGCCAUCAAGAGGUGUAUUUGAAAUCC